UCAUCCCUCCACACCCUUUCACUGCCUCUCCUAUCUUUCAUCUCCAUAGUAACGGUUUUGUGUAAAAUUAAUUUGAAUUGAUUAAUUUUAAUUACUUUUGCCACCCUUAGUCAUGGCUGCUUCCCUACCUUCUAAUCUUUUCUUCUGCCCUGAGAAAAUAUCUUUCCUCUGUUAAUUGGUUGAUUUCUUACUCAAAGUAUUCAACGCGAUGCUUUCAUAUUCUCAGUUUAAACAUGUCUUGGUUUACUAUCUCGAAUUAUUUAUCUUGUAUAUAAAGAGUUGCUUUUUUCGUCUUCUUCUUCAGGCAUUGGAAUCUUUCUAUAAGAAGUUCGAUCCAGAUUUCAUCAACAUCAGGACAAAGGCCAAAGACGUAUUAUUUUCAGAGGGAAGACGAUCUUAAUGAAAUUGUCCAGGGUGUUUUUGGAAGCUUAUUAUUUAUGAUCUGAUCAUCCCCGCUUCUGAAUUUUCACUACUCCUCCUACGAUUCUGGUGGAUGGUGUUAUGAUCGCUGAUUUACUUCUUUUUUGGAAUGUCUCUUAGGAUCUGCUAAGUUUGGGCUCCUCUGAUGCAUAAGACAACCGUAGCAUCUCCAUCUUCAGCUACAAUUUCCUGAUAUCAACAAAUGGGUGGGAAACAAAGUAUAGACUAAAAAUUUAAAUGAGGUAAAAAAAUGUUUAUAACAAUCUAGAAAAAUAAUUCAACC